CAGUUGUCAUCUGAAACCGGACUCGUGUUCAAGUACUUGACCUUUCAUUGAAAUUAAUCUUACAAAUCGGCUUUUCUCCCAGAAACCUCUUGGCAGAAGUGACUUCCAAGGAUGAACCAAAACAAUUAUACAGCAUCUGAGAUUAGUAUAUACAGCAAGGGUAGAGUUUAUUUUUUGUGAUUUGUCUCCUGUACAAACAGGUAUGUGUAACUAAUAAAGACGGCUGUCAAGAAAA